rnacentral:rRNA from 1 species
UUGAUCAUGGCUCAGAUUGAACGCUGGCGGCAGGCCUAACACAUGCAAGUCGAACGGUAACAGGAAGCAGCUUGCUGCUUUGCUGACGAGUGGCGGACGGGUGAGUAAUGUCUGGGAAACUGCCUGAUGGAGGGGGAUAACUACUGGAAACGGUAGCUAAUACCGCAUAACGUCGCAAGACCAAAGAGGGGGACCUUAGGGCCUCUUGCCAUCGGAUGUGCCCAGAUGGGAUUAGCUAGUAGGUGGGGUAACGGCUCACCUAGGCGACGAUCCCUAGCUGGUCUGAGAGGAUGACCAGCCACACUGGAACUGAGACACGGUCCAGACUCCUACGGGAGGCAGCAGUGGGGAAUAUUGCACAAUGGGCGCAAGCCUGAUGCAGCCAUGCCGCGUGUAUGAAGAAGGCCUUCGGGUUGUAAAGUACUUUCAGCGGGGAGGAAGGGAGUAAAGUUAAUACCUUUGCUCAUUGACGUUACCCGCAGAAGAAGCACCGGCUAACUCCGUGCCAGCAGCCGCGGUAAUACGGAGGGUGCAAGCGUUAAUCGGAAUUACUGGGCGUAAAGCGCACGCAGGCGGUUUGUUAAGUCAGAUGUGAAAUCCCCGGGCUCAACCUGGGAACUGCAUCUGAUACUGGCAAGCUUGAGUCUCGUAGAGGGGGGUAGAAUUCCAGGUGUAGCGGUGAAAUGCGUAGAGAUCUGGAGGAAUACCGGUGGCGAAGGCGGCCCCCUGGACGAAGACUGACGCUCAGGUGCGAAAGCGUGGGGAGCAAACAGGAUUAGAUACCCUGGUAGUCCACGCCGUAAACGAUGUCGACUUGGAGGUUGUGCCCUUGAGGCGUGGCUUCCGGAGCUAACGCGUUAAGUCGACCGCCUGGGGAGUACGGCCGCAAGGUUAAAACUCAAAUGAAUUGACGGGGGCCCGCACAAGCGGUGGAGCAUGUGGUUUAAUUCGAUGCAACGCGAAGAACCUUACCUGGUCUUGACAUCCACGGAAGUUUUCAGAGAUGAGAAUGUGCCUUCGGGAACCGUGAGACAGGUGCUGCAUGGCUGUCGUCAGCUCGUGUUGUGAAAUGUUGGGUUAAGUCCCGCAACGAGCGCAACCCUUAUCCUUUGUUGCCAGCGGUCCGGCCGGGAACUCAAAGGAGACUGCCAGUGAUAAACUGGAGGAAGGUGGGGAUGACGUCAAGUCAUCAUGGCCCUUACGACCAGGGCUACACACGUGCUACAAUGGCGCAUACAAAGAGAAGCGACCUCGCGAGAGCAAGCGGACCUCAUAAAGUGCGUCGUAGUCCGGAUUGGAGUCUGCAACUCGACUCCAUGAAGUCGGAAUCGCUAGUAAUCGUGGAUCAGAAUGCCACGGUGAAUACGUUCCCGGGCCUUGUACACACCGCCCGUCACACCAUGGGAGUGGGUUGCAAAAGAAGUAGGUAGCUUAACCUUCGGGAGGGCGCUUACCACUUUGUGAUUCAUGACUGGGGUGAAGUCGUAACAAGGU